rnacentral:rRNA from 1 species
UACAGAGGUCCCAAGCGUUGUUCGGAUUCACUGGGCGUAAAGGGUGCGUAGGUGGUGAGGUAAGUCGGAUGUGAAAGCUCGGAGCUCAACUCCGAGAUGGCAUUGGAAACUACCUUGCUCGAGGGUUGGAGGGGGGACUGGAAUGCUUGGUGUAGCAGUGAAAUGCGUAGAUAUCAAGCGGAACACCAGUGGCGAAGGCGAGUCCCUGGACAACUCCUGACACUGAGGCACGAAAGCUAGGGGAGCAAACAGG